rnacentral:misc_RNA from 1 species
GAUGAAGAACGCAGCGAAAUGCGAUAAGUAAUGUGAAUUGCAGAAUUCAGUGAAUCAUCGAAUCUUUGAACGCACAUUGCGCCCGCUAGUAUUCUGGCGGGCAUGCCUGUCCGAGCGUCAUUUCAACCCUCAAGCCCCCGGGCUUGGUGUUGGGGAUCGGCGAGCCUCCGCGCCCGCCGUCCCCUAAAUCUAGUGGCGGUCUCGCUGUAGCUCCCUCUGCGUAGUAGCACACCUCGCACUGGGAAACAGCGCGGCCACGCCGUUAAACCCCCAACUUCUGAACGUUUGACCUCGGAUCAGGUAGGAAUACCCGCUGAACUUAAGCAUAUCAAUAAGCGGAGGA